ensembl:lincRNA Gm42704 predicted gene 42704
GCCACGUUCUUUGGAUGAGAGGAAUGAGGAAGAGAAUCACAGCGAAAACAAGGAAGAAACCUAGUCCAGACACCGGGUGAAAGUAAAAGAGACACUGGUAAAGGUCCUUGGGAAAGAUGCUGAGUCUGUAGGCUCUGUUGGAACAACGUUAUGAGAACUGAGGAAGAAAGGACAGGAUAUAUUAGUAGAGAGGAAAGGGUAAAGAAUGACAAAGAGACUGAAGGCUAUGCAGAAGGUCACUGGGGGAAUGUGCAGACUACAAAGACUAAAUGGAAAGAGGCAGAAAAUAAGCUGAAAGGAAAGACAGAAUGUAGCCGGCAUUUGUCACUAUUGGUUCCCCUUUGGGGAGGCAAUUUGCAUCUGGUUUAUUUGGUGGGAACUAUUGCACUCCUUUCUGCUAGCUUGGAGUCAGGCUGAGUGGCAAGGACAGCAACUGUGUUUGAAGUCCUUGUGCUUUCAGAUUUAUUCCUACAUGGAACAGUCAAGGACCUACUAGGCUCCAAUAUUCUGGAAGAACUAAGUCCGCUCUGCCCAGGCUGGUUCUACAACCAUCACCUCAACAUAUUGGCAGUACAUAUCUUUUCAAUAGAUUUCAUAUUGGUUAACCAAACUAGAAAAACUGAGUGAAUUGAAGUUGGAGCUUCAUAGCUUAGUUAGCGGAAAGCAGGGUCCUAGUUUUCAAGGGAAAGUUGGGAUUUUCUUCAAUGCAAGUGAAGGACUCAGGUAGUGUGAAUAAAUGGUUAAGUCAUUUAUAUCAAAAUAUCUGGCCAUUCUGAUUAAGCAGGUCAUAAGGAGCUGGAAUUCCCUAUAGAAGUCAGUAUGUUUAAAAAGCAGCCUUCAAAAGCUAAGGGUAAGGUAGAUGCUUCCCUUUUUAUUUUUAUUUUUUAUUUCUGUUAAAGUAAAUAUAGGCUGUCCAAUGACUUCAUUCUGUUUAUUAAUAGAUAUUUGGUUUAUAGCACUAUCUAUUAUUUAUCUACUAUUGAAAGUGAGGUAGUAGUCAUUACUUACAUUAAAAUGUUCAUGGAUGUAGACUAAGAGGGUGUAUAAUUUCUCCAUGAUUUUCACAUAAUCUUAAAUGUUCUGUGGGUGAGUAUUAAGGGAAAAUCUUUCUAGAACUACUUAAGUGAGAAUAAACUUGAUCAUUCAUUCUGAAAAUACAUACUGACUAUGAUCCUUAGAGUUAACUUAACAAAGGAAUGAGUUUUGUGUUUUAAAGGGGGAAGAGAAGUGGUAAUACGUUUAGCUUUUGACUUAGUCAUUCAUGGGUUGUUUGUGAUGGUAAUUAAUGGAGAGUGUUAUUCAGACAUAUAUGACAAUGACUCAUUCCAUCAAAAGUUCCUCAAAGGUCUGCCUGCAGCAAAACAAUGAUGCACUGUGUUUUGGUUUGUAAUUAUUCUGACGAUUCUAAGAUUUGUAUUCCAUUAUUAAAAUUUGUUCUGCCUCUUAAAAAGGUGACUAUUACAUUAAUCUGACAAGACCAGGGUCCCCUAUGAAGACUGAGUACAGCUGUGUCCAUGUCUUGGUGCUUUCUUUGUGUUAGUUGGAGGGCCACGGAUAAAAAUGAGCACUUUGUGCCCUUAUGGCUUUAUUAGCUAUUAUACUCUGAGAACAACAACCCUGGAUGUUUUGAAAUUUACAGUUUCCUGGGGCCAUUUUCACAAACAGUUUUGACAUAGCACAGAGUACUUGAUCAACUGUCACCCAAGGCGAUUUGAAGGAAAUACAGGAAAGGGAAGGUCUAUUUGACUGUUGACACUGCAAGUUCUUUACGUUUUCCACAGU